rnacentral:rRNA from 1 species
AUUGAACGCUGGCGGCAUGCCUUACACAUGCAAGUCGAACGGUAACGGGCCUUCGGGUGCCGACGAGUGGCGAACGGGUGAGUAAUGUAUCGGAACGUACCUUUCAGUGGGGGAUAACGUAGCGAAAGUUACGCUAAUACCGCAUAUUCUGUGUGCAGGAAAGCAGGGGAUCGCAAGACCUUGCGCUGAUUGAGCGGCCGAUAUCAGAUUAGCUAGUUGGGGAGGUAAAGGCGCACCAAGGCGACGAUCUGUAGCGGGUCUGAGAGGAUGAUCCGCCACACUGGAACUGAGACACGGUCCAGACUCCUACGGGAGGCAGCAGUGGGGAAUUUUGGACAAUGGGGGCAACCCUGAUUCAGCCAUGCCGCGUGAGUGAAGAAGGCCUUCGGGUUGUAAAGCUCUUUCGGCCGGGAAGAAAUCGUAUCAGCUAAUACCUGGUGCGGAUGACGGUACCGGCAUAAGAAGCACCGGCUAACUACGUGCCAGCCGCCGCCGUAACAC